rnacentral:rRNA from 1 species
GUAUAUGAGGUGAUUAAUUGGAGGGCAAAUCAAGUGCCAGCAGCCGCGGUAAUACUUGUUCCAAGAGUGUGUAUGGUGAUUGAUGCAGUUAAAAAGUCCGUAGUUUAUUUUUUAAGAAGCAAUAUGAGGUGUACUGUAUAGUUGGGAGAAAGAUGAAAUGUGACGACCCUAACUGGACGAACAGAAGCGAAAGCUGUACACUUGUAUGUAUUUUUUGAACAAGGACGUAAGCUGGAGGAGCGAAGAUGAUUAGAUACCAUUGUAGUUCCAGCAGUAAACCAUGCCGACGGUGUGAUAUGGAAAUAUUAAUUUGUAUUACAUAAUAGAAAUUUGAGUUUUUUGGCUCUGGGGAUAGUAUGAUCGCAAGAUUGAAAAUUAAAGAAAUUGACGGAAGAAUACCACAAGGAGUGGAUUGUGCGGCUUAAUUUGACUCAACGCGAGGUAACUUACCAAUAUUUUAUUAUUUUGAGAGAACGGUUUUUUGUUUGAGAAUGAUAAUAGUGGUGCAUGGCCGUUUUCAAUGGAUGCUGUGAAGUUUUGAUUAAUUUCAACAAGACGUGAGACCCUUAUUUUUUAUUAAAGACAGACACAAUCAGUGUAGGAAGGAAAGGAUUAAAACAGGUCCGUUAUGCCCUCUGACAUUUUGGGCUGCACGCGCAAUACAAUAGAUAUA